rnacentral:lncRNA from 1 species
UGGGGACUGAAGAAUCGAACUUGUUGUGUUCAGGAAGAUGAAGAGCCUUCCUGACAGUCGCCGGUGAGACAAAAUACUCUUGACCCUCAUAAUCACAGGUCAAGGAUGGAGAGCCAUGAUCACCUCCAUCAUCAUAACGUGCUGUCCUCCAUAAUGUGAGGACCUGUGAAGGAGAAAUAGACUCUGGUUGAGUCAGAGCAUACAUCAGCUCGCUGUGAGCCAGAAAAUCCUGUAUCAGAUGAAACUCCUUGGGGGCUUCAUCGUUGUCAAGUAUGGCAGCAUAGUUAUUUUUGACAAAUUUAGC